AUACGCCUUUGAAAGGUGAGGCUCCUGUACAAACCCAGGCCGCUGCCCCGAAAUGUCGAAAGACGCCAAGGGGUAGAACAGGCACAUUCGGAUUAAGGAUGUGCAUAACGCGGCUCGCGCGCUAACCCCGCGCUACGUUGUACAGUGCCAAAUCCGAAUCGAGGAAGGCCACG
rnacentral:sRNA from 2 species